rnacentral:rRNA from 1 species
UCCUACGGGGGGCGGCAGUGAGGAAUAUUGGACAAUGGGCGAGAGCCUGAUCCAGCCAUGCCGCGUGCAGGAAGACGGCCCUAUGGGUUGUAAACUGCUUUUACAGAGGAAGAAACACUCCCUUGCGAGGGAGCUUGACGGUACUCUGCGAAUAAGGAUCGGCUAACUCCGUGCCAGCAGCCGCGGUAAUACGGAGGAUCCAAGCGUUAUCCGGAAUCAUUGGGUUUAAAGGGUCCGUAGGCGGGACAAUCAGUCAGCGGUGAAAGUCUGUGGCUCAACCAUAGAAUUGCCAUUGAUACUGUUGUUCUUGAAUACUUAUGAAGUGGUUGGAAUAUGUAGUGUAGCGGUGAAAUGCAUAGAUAUUACAUAGAACACCGAUUGCGAAGGCAGAUCACUAAUAAUUUAUUGACGCUGAUGGACGAAAGCGUAGGUAGCGAACAGGAUUAGAUACCCUGGUAGUCUACGCCGUAAACGAUGGUUACUAGCUGUUCGGUCGCAAGACUGAGUGGCUAAGCGAAAGUGAUAAGUAACCCACCUGGGGAGUACGUUCGCAAGAAU